GGUGAGCCCCGGUGGGAGGACCCAGCCUGACCCCAGCAAGCUCUGCGCUUCUUCCUCCCUAACAUCUCUUGCCGAUCCUCACAACAAAAGUCCUUUUAAUCACCUGGGCAACGGUUCAUGGAACACUGAAUGUAAAAAGCCAAGACUUGAACCAAGGCCAUCUUCCUCCAGGGCUGCUGCACAGAUUUCACCUGUGGGAUCCCAUCAGCAAGGAGAAAAGAAGAGACAAUCAAUCAGAGAGAAGGAAUGGAGAAGGGGAACAUGAAUUCAAUAGAGGAAUUAAAUUUGAAAAAGCUUGGGUUAUAUAAAAUGAUAUAUUUUUUAUCAAGGACCAAUUUUUGUGUACUUUUGAGGAAUGAUUCUGUAAUUAUAUAAAAACA
rnacentral:lncRNA from 1 species